rnacentral:rRNA from 1 species
AGAGUUUGAUCCUGGCUCAGAACGAACGCUGGCGGCGUGGAUAAGACAUGCAAGUCGAACGAGAGAAUUGCUAGCUUGCUAAUAAUUCUCUAGUGGCGCACGGGUGAGUAACACGUGAGUAACCUGCCCCCGAGAGCGGGAUAGCCCCUGGGAAACUGGGAUUAAUACCGCAUAGUAUCGAAAGAUUAAAGCAGCAAUGCGCUUGGGGAUGGGCUCGCGGCCUAUUAGUUAGUUGGUGAGGUAACGGCUCACCAAGGCGAUGACGGGUAGCCGGUCUGAGAAGAUGUCCGGCCACACUGGAACUGAGACACGGUCCAGACACCUACGGGUGGCAGCAGUCGAGAAUCAUUCACAAUGGGGGAAACCCUGAUGGUGUGACCCCCCGUGGGGGAAUGAAGGUCUUCCGAUUGG